rnacentral:sRNA from 1 species
UUUCUUCCAAGCCUUGGUGUUAUCUCCUGAAUUUUCCAAAGGGAUGUAAAUGUCUCCGUAAUGACUGAAUCUUUCCUUGCCACCCAAAGCACUUUGAUAGCAUCAACACACCAGAAAUUCUAGAACAACAAUUCACAAUGGAACCCCCAGACCGCUGGCAUCACCUGGGAACACGUCAGAAAUACAAAUCCUUGAUCCCCUUCUUAAGUCCCUUACUCAGGAAAUCAUGGCAGUGGAACCCGACCUCUGUGUUUUUACAAGCUCUCCAGGUGAUGCUGAUUCACGGCUCAAGUUGAAAACCCACUGGCCUAUAACAUUGCUUCUCAAACUUGGCUGCACACUAGAAUCGCCUACAAAGCUUCACAAAAGAACACCUCCGCGGCUGCUUCACACCCCUCCCCUUAGAGAUUUCACUGACAUCAGACAGCAUCUCGUACAUCAUGCCCUGCUUGUGUUGGAAAACGCAAACAAGUGAGAAAGGCGUGUCUGUGAGCCUAUGGCUCAGUGCUCUGCUCUGUAAACUACUACCGAAGGACCAUUGUGCCGGGAACGACCAGACUCUCCUACCCAAACUACGACUGAACAAAGAUGAACCCCAGGCGAGAAUUAAGAGAACUGAAAUCAAUUGGUCACAGAGUCAUCCAGGAGCAAAUCUGCGAUCCCAGCUAUGGUAGCCUCACGCCUAGCUUCUCUGCGACAUUUAUUUGUGUUGUGUUUAUGGGUGUCACCACAUGCCUAGCUUCUCAUCUAUCAUGCAUCUGGACAUACAGCUGGUGUAUAUUGAGUAUGUAAUGUGUAUGGUGUGUGAAAUGGCUUCACUCCCAACAAUG